rnacentral:rRNA from 1 species
AGAGUUCGAUCCUGGCUCAGGAUGAACGCUGGCGGCGUGCUUAACACAUGCAAGUCGAACGAGAAAUGAAGACGGAAACCUUCGGGCGGAAGGCUUCAUUUCGAGUGGCGGACGGGUGAGUAACGCGUGGGUAACCUGCCUCAUACAGGGGGAUAACAGUUGGAAACGACUGUUAAUACCGCAUAAGACCACAGCACCGCAUGGUGCGGGGGUAAAAACUCCGGUGGUAUGAGAUGGACCCGCGUUCGAUUAGCCAGUUGGCGGGGUAACGGCCCACCAAAGCGACGAUCGAUAGCCGAUCUGAGAGGAUGACCGGCCACAUUGGGACUGAGACACGGCCCAAACUCCUACGGGAGGCAGCAGUGGGGAAUAUUGGACAAUGGGGGCAACCCUGAUCCAGCAAUUCUGUGUGCACGAAGACGGUUUUCGGAUUGUAAAGUGCUUUCAGCAGGGAAGAAGGAAGUGACGGUACCUGCAGAAGAAGCGACGGCUAAAUACGUGCCAGCAGCCGCGGUAAUACGUAUGUCGCGAGCGUUAUCCGGAAUUAUUGGGCAUAAAGGGCAUCUAGGCGGCCUAACAAGUCAGGGGUGAAAACCUGCGGCUCAACCGCAGGCUUGCCUUUGAAACUGUAAGGCUGGAGUAUCGGAGAGGUGGACGGAACUGCACGAGUAGAGGUGAAAUUCGUAGAUAUGUGCAGGAAUGCCGAUGAUGAAGAUAGUUCACUGGACGGUAACUGACGCUGAAGUGCGAAAGCCGGGGGAGCAAACAGGAUUAGAUACCCUGGUAGUCCCGGCCGUAAACGAUGAUUACUGGGUGUGGGCAGGAAGACUGUCUGUGCCGAAGCAAAUGCGAUAAGUAAUCCGCCUGGGGAGUACGGCCGCAAGGCUGAAACUCAAAGGAAUUGACGGGGACCCGCACAAGCGGUGGAGCAUGU